UACGAAGGGGGCUAGCGUUGCUCGGAAUCACUGGGCGUAAAGGGUGCGUAGGCGGGUCUUUAAGUCAGGGGUGAAAUCCUGGAGCUCAACUCCAGAACUGCCUUUGAUACUGAAGAUCUUGAGUGCGGGAGAGGUGAGUGGAACUGCGAGUGUAGAGGUGAAAUUCGUAGAUAUUCGCAAGAACACCAGUGGCGAAGGCGGAGCUCACCUGGCC
rnacentral:rRNA from 1 species